AUACGUAGGGGGCAAGCGUUGUCCGGAAUUACUGGGCGUAAAGAGCUCGUAGGCGGCUCAGCAAGUCGGUCGUGAAAGCCCGAGGCUCAACCUCGGAACUGCGGUCGAUACUGCUGUGGCUAGAGUCCGGUAGAGGAGAGUGGAAUUCCCGGUGUAGCGGUGGAAUGCGCAGAUAUCGGGAGGAACACCAGUGGCGAAGGCGGCUCUCUGGGCCGGUACUGACGCUGAGGAGCGAAAGCGUGGGGAGCAAACAGGAUUAGAAACCCCAGUAGUCC
rnacentral:rRNA from 1 species